GAUGAACGCUAGCUACAGGCUUAACACAUGCAAGUCGAGGGGUAACGAGAGGGAAGCUUGCUUUCCUUGUCGACGACCGGCGCACGGGUGAGUAACGCGUAUCCAACCUGCCCCCAACUAGGGAAUAACCUUGCGAAAGUAAGACUAAUACCCUAUAAUUUCCUCAGAUGUCAUCUGACGAGGAAUAAAUAGUUAUCGGUUGUGGAUGGGGAUGCGUCUGAUUAGGUUGUUGGCGGGGUAACGGCCCACCAAGGCAACGAUCAGGUGGGGUUUUGGACGGAAGGUCCCCCACAUUGGAACUGAGACGCGGUCCAAACUCCUACGGGAGGCAGGAGUGAGGAAUAUUGGUCAAUGGGCGGGAGCCUGAACCAGCCAAGUAGCGUGCAGGAUGACGGCCCGAUGGGUUGUAAGCUGCUUUUAUACAGGAAUAAAGUUAGCCACGUGUGGUUAUUUGUAGGUACUGUAUGAAUAAGGACCGGCUAAUUCCGUGCCAGCCGCCGCAGUAA
rnacentral:rRNA from 1 species